rnacentral:rRNA from 1 species
UACGUAGGGUGCAAGCGUUAAUCGGAAUUACUGGGCGUAAAGCGUGCGCAGGCGGUUUUGUAAGUCUGUCGUGAAAUCCCCGGGCCUCACUGGGAAUUGCGAUGGAGACUGCAAGGCUGGAGUCUGGCAGAGGGGGGUAGAAUUCCACGUGUAGCAGUGAAAUGCGUAGAGAUGUGGAGGAACACCGAUGGCGAAGGCAGCCCCCUGGGUCAAGACUGACGCUCAUGCACGAAAGGCGUGGGGAGCAAACAGG